CCAGCUGCAGUCUCCGCCCCCAGGGGUUCCCGCGCUUGCGGGGGGCAGUCCCCGGGACUCUACCCUCUGCUGGCCACCUGGAACGCCGCCUACGAUGCAGUGGCGAGAAGCCCGGGUCCAGGAACUCCGGAUGGGGCUGGCUGUCGACAGGCGGGAGUAGACUCGGUGGCAGCAUGGCAGAGGGCAGCACGGGAGACAGAACGACCAUCCAGGCUCAGGGAAGUUCUAGGUUUGCUCAAGGUCGCAAUGACGCAGCCUGCCGCUGCAAACCCAGAAGUUACAGGGGAUCAAGUUCUACCCUCAAGCUCAGGGCACAUGUCAAUGCAGCUGGAGGAUGACUUCGUCCAGGGGCCUCGCUGGGCAGCGACCUCACCCAGCUGGCUGCUCAGAGCCAGGUAGGCUAGGGUUACCUGGCAGCCUGACUCCAGCAGCUUCCUUGAGGCCCUUGAGCUUGCUAAGCACACCCUCAUCCACCGUGAAGGCUGGGGUCCUAUUAGGCUGUCCCGACCAGAUGAUCAUGGCUGGUCACCUGUACCCGAUGCCCAGGGCCUGGUGGAGGAGCCAGGGUGGCGUAGGGGUGGUAGACCCUUUUGCUGGGCGUUCCUACUUACAAAGCUCCCGGUGCAUCUGCAUUGCGGGGCUGGACUGGGGCUGCCUCACUUUCAUCCUCCCCGAGUGACUUUGGAGGUGUCUCUUCCUUCUCUGAGCCUCUGCUAACCCAGUAGGCGAUAGCAGCCAGUCCAGGUGGGACCUGGUCCCCCAGGGAGCUUGAGCCCAAAUCCUCUCCUGGGCUUCCUGGCAUCCCCUGCAAGCAGCUCGCCCCCAGGUCUCCUUUGCUUUGGAGACACAAACGCUGCCGCAGCGCUACACUGGCCAUGACCUGAGCGGGUCAGCUGAUCUUCUGGACUCAGCUCUGGCCCCUAUUUUCAGGAGCAGAGUCCUGGGGCUCAUCACCGCUGCUUAUCCCAUGGACUGUCCCCCCCAUCACAGCAUCCAUGGGCAGGUAUCACGUGGGUCCCGCUCACUGAGGAAGCUGCCCUGCUCGGCACACGCAUAUACUAGAGAAUAUUUGCUGAAUGAGUGAGCGACGCUGAGCCUCCUUCACCUGUGCCGCACUGACCUCCUGGAUCUUCAGCUCUGCAAAUAACGCUGACUGUUCCUGGGAGCCACGUGGCAGGAGAGGACAUCUGAGGAGGGACUGCCUGGACCCUGUGCCCUGGAGGACAGCCUGGCAGGUGGCUCUUAACACAUUCUGGGCUCCAGACAAGAGAGCCACAUGUCAUUUCUCAGAUUCGGUUUCAUACGUGUGUGUCUCCCCCUGACCUCACGUGUACGUGGUCUGACAGAUGGGAUCCUGGGUGCACACAGUCCACAGGUGGCCCAUGUCAGAAGACGCCUGGGGUCUCUGUCGGCACGUGGGGACCCCACACCCACAUUAGCAGCUGCCCAGCGCUCACUGGCCCACCUGGACCAGGACCGAUGCGUCCCAUCCCCUCUCCGUGGACACUGCCGUUUCCAGUCCCUGAUACUCCAGCCUGUGCCGUGCCGGACCCUCUUGAAAAUACAUCUUGGAGACACUGCGCAGGAAUCCCUGCGGCCGGGGUCCCGGGAUGGGCUCUGAAGGGGAGGGGCCCCACUUGUGCACUUCUGGUCCUGCACACGCUUCUCCCAGAGAGCAGCAUCCUUCCUCACGUCCCCCGAGGGCAUCUGCUGAGUCUCUGCUUCCUCACGUUGUCCCCAGGGCUGCUGGUCACCAGACGAGAGACCUUCCCGUGGGGCGGUGACCAUGCUGCCGCCACAGUGUUCACACAUGUGUGUCCUCACUGGGGACGCUGAGCAUCGCUGACCUAUACUGACCGUGUGUGUGGCCCUCCCGUUGGAAUCACAUGAUUGCUUUUUGUCCCUUUUAAAAACAUUAGCUUUGGAGAAUUCUCUCUCUCUCUCUUUUUUUUUUUUUCUUUUUAGGGUGGCAUCUGAGGCAUACAGAGGUUCCCAGGCUAGUGGUCAAAGGGGAGCUGCAGCUGCUGGCCUACACCACAGCUGUGCCAGGGAUACGUCCGGUUCGUUACCGCUGAGCCACGACAGGAACUCCUGGAAUAUUUUCAGGACCACAGAGAUGUUAAGCCUUUUUCUGGCCCUGGGGUGUGAGGAAUGCUCUUCGGGUUUGUCUUCCUCACUUUCUACAUGUUUGUUUUUGCCACAGGAAGAGUCUGGCGUUGCCCUGUCUUCUGGCUCCGAUGUCACGCUUCGAACAGGGGACUCUGUCCUGAGGUGGCGCACAUGUCUCCUCAAAGGGCUUCAUUUGCUGCAUCUCAUCUUUAAACCCAUCUGGAAUUUCCCUUGCAAAUAACAAAGCUCUUUUUCAAAUAAAAACAGAAA